AAGAUAGGAAUCAACCUAAGUGUCCAUCAAUAGAAGAAGAACCACAUGGUGCACCAUGCAAAUAGAAAAACAAACUUCUCUAAACUGAUGACGUGGGGCGCUAUCAUGGAUUAGGAGGAGCCUUUCACCCUGAUUGCCUACUACUGUUAAAAAACUAAAACAGGUGUUCUUGGCUGAUGGAUUCCAAUAUUCAAAUAGCACCACAGGGGACCCAAUGCCCGCUUGGUCUUUGCCUCUAAUGUUGGUGUGGAGCCAACUGUCAACAGU